GACGAACGCUGGCGGCGUGCUUAACACAUGCAAGUCGAGCGGUAAGGCCCUUUCGGGGGUACACGAGCGGCGAACGGGUGAGUAACACGUGGGUGACCUGCCCUCAGCUCUGGGAUAAGCCUGGGAAACCGGGUCUAAUACCGGAUAUGACUCCAUGACGCAUGUUGUGGGGUGAAAGCCUUGUGCGGCUGAGGAUGGGCCCGCGGCCUAUCAGCUUGUUGGUGGGGUGAUGGCCUACCAAGGCGACGACGGGUAGCCGGCCUGAGAGGGCGACCGGCCACACUGGGACUGAGACACGGGCCCAGACUCCUACGGGAGGCAGCAGUGGGGAAUCUUGCGCAAUGGGCGAAAGCCUGACCGCAGCGACGCCGCGUGAGGGAUGACGGCCU
rnacentral:rRNA from 1 species